AGAAGUUGCCCGUGUCUUUUUCG
rnacentral:miRNA from 8 species